rnacentral:rRNA from 1 species
AUUGAACGCUGGCGGCAGGCUUAACACAUGCAAGUCGAACGAGUGGCGGACGGGUGAGUAAUGCUUGGGAAUCUAGCUUAUGGAGGGGGAUAACUACGGGAAACUGUAGCUAAUACCGCGUACCAUAGGAUGAGCCCAAGUGGGAUUAGGUAGUUGGUGAGGUAAAGGCUCACCAAGCCGACGAUCUCUCGCUGGUCUGAGAGGAUGACAAGACACUCUGGGUCUGAGACACGGCCCAUACUCCUACGGGAGGCAGCAGUGGGGAAUAUUUCGCAAUGGGUGCAACCUGACGCAGCCAGGCCGCGUGAGUGAUGACGGCCUUCGGGUUGUAAAGCUCUGUUAAUCGGGAGACGGUACCGGAAUAGAAAGCCACGGCUAACUACGUGCCAGCAGCCGCGGUAAUAC